GCCAGGUGCGGUGGCACAUGCCUAUAGUCCCAGCUACUCAGGAGGCUGAGGUGGGAAGAUCGCUUGAGCCCAGGAGUUCUGGGUUGUAGUGUGCUAUGCCAAUCGGGUGUCCGCACUAAGUUCAGCAUCAAUAUUGGGACCUCCUGGGAGCGGGGACCACCAGGUUGCCUAAGGAGGGGUGAACCGGCCCAGGUCGGAAAUGGAGCAGGCCAAAACUCCCGUGCUGAUCAGUAGUGGGAUUGCGCCUGUGAAUAGCCAGUGCACUCCCGCCUGGGAGCAAGACCUCGUCUUA
rnacentral:SRP_RNA from 1 species